CUUGCACCUGAUUGACGAUGGAUCACCAGUGAGUGGCGGACGGGUGAGUAACACGUAGGUAACCUGCCCCGGAGCGGGGGAUAACAUUUGGAAACAGAUGCUAAUACCGCAUAACAACGAAAGCCACAUGGCUUUUGUUUGAAAGAUGGCUUUGGCUAUCACUCUGGGAUGGACCUGCGGUGCAUUAGCUAGUUGGUAAGGUAACGGCUUACCAAGGCGAUGAUGCAUAGCCGAGUUGAGAGACUGAUCGGCCACAAUGGAACUGAGACACGGUCCAUACUCCUACGGGAGGCAGCAGUAGGGAAUCUUCCACAAUGGGCGCAAGCCUGAUGGAGCAACACCGCGUGAGUGAAGAAGGGUUUCGGCUUGUAAAGCUCUGUUGUUGGAGAAGAACGUGCGUGAGAGUAACUGCUCACGCAGUGACGGUAUCCAACCAGAAAGUCACGGCUAACUACGUGCCAGCAGCCGCGGUAAUACGUAGGUGGCAAGCGUUAUCCGGAUUUAUUGGGCGUAAAGCGAGCGCAGGCGGUUGCUUAGGUCUGAUGUGAAAGCCUUCGGCUUAACCGAAGAAGUGCAUCGGAAACCGGGCGACUUGAGUGCAGAAGAGGACAGUGGAACUCCAUGUGUAGCGGUGGAAUGCGUAGAUAUAUGGAAGAACACCAGUGGCGAAGGCGGCUGUCUGGUCUGCAACUGACGCUG
rnacentral:rRNA from 1 species